AAUAAUCAAAGGAGCAAUCCGCUUUGAGAUGGACCCGCGGCGCAUUAGCUAGUUGGUGAGGUAAGGGCUCACCAAGGCGACGAUGCGUAGCCGCCCUGAGAGGGUGAUCGGCCACAUUGGAACUGAGCCACGGUCCAGACUCCUACGGGAGGCAGCAGUGGGGAAUAUUGCGCAAUGGGGGAAACCCUGACGCAGCAACGCCGCGUGAGUGAUGAAGGUUUUCGGAUCGUAAAACUCUGUCUUUAGGGACGAUAAUGACGGUACCUAAGGAGGAAGCCACGGCUAACUACGUGCCAGCAGCCGCGGUAAUACGUAGGUGGCAAGCGUUGUCCGGAUUUACUGGGCGUAAAGAGUAUGUAGGUGGGUGCUUAAGUCAGAUGUGAAAUUCCCGGGCUUAACCUGGGCGCUGCAUUUGAAACUGGGCAUCUAGAGUGCAGGAGAGGAAAGUGGAAUUCCUAGUGUAGCGGUGAAAUGCGUAGAGAUUAGGAAGAACACCAGUGGC
rnacentral:rRNA from 1 species